rnacentral:lncRNA from 1 species
CUCCCAAAGUGCUGGGAUUACAGGCGUAAGCCACUGUGCCCGGCCUACGUUUUGAUGUUAAAAUGUAUCUUCUUAUUACGAAACCAUUUUUCCAUUGUAUUAACUACUUUUACAACAAAGCAAAUAACAAGUUAUUUUACAAACCAUUUAGAAAUUUCUGUACUAUGGUCCCAAUAAUGUAAAAUAUAUUAAUGCCUUUUACAUUCAGGUAAAUUAUCCACUUGGAAACUACAUAUUUAUGACUUACAGAAACUUACAUAAACAAAUUAUACAAAUUAUAUGCUCAAUUUUUAGGUAUAUAGUCUUAAAUUAAGCUUAAAUAUACAUUCUCAAGAUAAAUUAACAGUUCAGGGCUUCACAACUUGAAAUCUGUGGAA